GUGCAACCCCCAUCUCGGCUCACUGCAACCCCCAUCUCCCAGGCUCAAGCAAGUCUUCUGCCUCAUCCUCCCAAGUAGCUGGGAUUACAGGCAUGUGCCACCAUGCCCAGAUGAGCCCUCAAUGGACUGAACGAUGCUCACCCACACUGUGAGGGCUGGUCUUCUUUAUUCAAUCCACUGACUUAAGUGCUGAUCUCUUCUGGAAACACCUUCACAGACACACCCAGAAAUAAUGUUCUACCAGCCAUGGGCCUGUUACUUAGCCCAGUCAAGUUGACACAGAAAAUUAGCUAUCACAACAUCUGUG
rnacentral:lncRNA from 1 species